rnacentral:rRNA from 1 species
GACAAACGCUGGCGGUAUGCCUAACACAUGCAAGUCGAACGGACAGAACAGGGAAGCUUUUCGGAGUGGACCUGGAAAGUUAGUGGCGGAUGGGUGAGUAACGCGUGGACAACCUACCUUGUAAAGGGGAAUAACCUCGAGAAAUCGAAGCUAAUACCCCAUAAUAACCUUGCUUCGCAUGAAGUAAGGAGGAAAGGCGGCCUUAGCGCUGUCGAUACAAGAUGGGUCCGCGUCUGAUUAGCUAGUUGGUGAGGUAAAGGCUCACCAAGGCGACGAUCAGUAGCCGGCCUGAGAGGGUGAACGGCCACAUUGGGACUGAGACACGGCCCAAACUCCUACGGGAGGCAGCAGUGGGGAAUCUUCCGCAAUGGGCGAAAGCCUGACGGAGCAAUGCCGCGUGAGUGAAGAAGGCCUUCGGGUUGUAAAACUCUGUCAUUAUCGAAGAGAGAGUGUUGUAGUAACUGACAAUACUAGGACGGUAGAUGAGGAGGAAGCCCCGGCUAACUAUGUG